rnacentral:tRNA from 1 species
GCACUUUUAGCUCAAUGGCUAGAGCAAUAACCUUCUAAGUUAUAGGCUAAAGGUUCGAGUCCUUUAAAGUGCA